CACAUCAAAAUCAGUUUCAAGGCUGCCUUGAAACUAAUUUCGGUGUGUGAAAAGAGUAAGUAAUUUAAAUUAUCUUUGGCAGAACUUUGCCUUAAAAGCAAAGUUCUCCUAAAGGUAAUAAUGAAAUAAAAAUUAAAUGACACUUUUAUAUGGGGACUCAGCAUUUUCUAAGCUUUUUUCCAUACCCAGAAUUUACUAUAUAACCACCUUAAGCUCUAUGAUACAUAAAAAUUAUAUACAUGCUUUAUCUAUGCGAAUAAUAAUAAAUGUAUCUACACAUUUUUUUAUAGGUUAACAGUAAUUUUUUAAAUUAGUUAGUUGUGUUUAAAAGCCAACCCAAUUAAAUAGUUGUAUUAUGAUUGUUUGAUUUAGUGCAUCGUGGGACCUAAAAAGGAAACAUUUCUACUUGAUGGUAAAGCUAAAAGUUAGUUAACUUGUAGUUUUCACUACUAGCUCAUUUAAAUAUUGGUUGUAGCAACAGACGCCUACUGCAUAUAUUGGCAACUAACAAGGAUUCAUAUAAAGUAACUGUAGAAGUAAUCAAUAAGUAUUUUAACAUCAAAGUUUGUACUAAUUAGAUUCUGCAACUAGUUAAAACAUCAAAAAACUUUGUAAACCAUUUUUCACGAGAUUCAAAACAAUUUAUUGACAUCUGCAACAUGCUCUGUGCAUACCAAAUAAUGACAUCUGCUAUGGCACAAACAUCGCAAUCAAUUGCAACCUCAAUUCACAUUGCUAUAUGUUCUUCAUUUCCCUUUCAACAAAUCAGUGUUUUAUCUGUAUCAAACAGUGGUCACUUAUCUCUUUUAUCUGGUCCUGCUAUAGAAACCUCUUCUCAUGAACCACUAUCCAGUUAGAGAGCUGACUAGUUAAGUCCCUGAAAAAGAUUAUGAGAAAGAGAUUUUUGUUUGAAACAGCAGUUAACAUUAAUCGAAACCAAGUUUUCUUAUCAAAAGACAAUUUUAUACCAACAACUUGCUGAAAAAAAUUAUGCAAUUCUUGUACUGCAAAAUGACAUUGAUACUGAUUUUACAGGAAGAGUUGGAGGAAAUUCAGCAAGUAACACAAAACACCAAAACUCAAAAACACUACUCAGCAGAUAUUAGAACACUUAUAUACGACAUGCUUGUGUGUUAAGUUCCUGGUUUCAUUCACUACACAAUUCAUUUUCUACACGAUUCUGCAAUACAAACUUCGCUACAAGGAUGCAAAAGUGAUCCAAAGGGUUUUGGGUUCUUUUUGGACCAACACGAGUUGCCCAGAAGAUUGCUACCAUGCUAUAGAGGGAACAGAAUACAUAUGCUUUUUCACACAUGUGGUACUUUGAUCUAUAAUUAUUCCAUAUUGAAAAUAUUUUUGUGUUCUGGCUUGACAUUAUGUGAAUGUCUGCAAAAUGGUUUGUUUCAAGACUUUACAUCUGAAACAGGUUUUAACUAAUAGCAUUCUAAAAGAUUGCAAUUUGCUACUGUCUUAAAGUCCUCAAGAUUAUAUUUAAUAAUUCAGUAAGAUGUUAUUAUAGUUAGAUAUUAAUUUAUUUUGCAGUAAUUAACAGUUAAAUGUUAAUUUAUUAUACAGUAAUUGCUUGUA